CAGGGAGUUCCCUGUUUACACACAAUAUUUCCAGAAGCACUCAGAAAGAUUCCCACGUUUCUUGUACUGUUUCCUGUCCUUGGUCAAGAGGCGGCCCAGGAAAGCAUUUCGAGGAUGGUUCCCGUAGAAAGUCUGAAAUCAAACAGCCCUGGAGAGGUUACUGGGGGUGGUUCCCAGUGGGGAAGUACAUCCUCCAUCCUUCCUGACCUCCCAGCCCUGUGCUCUCACUGGGGGAAGGAGGGGACUGCCCAGUGAAAGCUCUGCUUUGCAUCUCCUACUAAAACUCAGCCCUGUUCUCUGCAUUUGUGUUUAAUUCAGCACGAAGUGAACAGGGAUGAUGUUCUCCGUGUACAUAAUGGUUCAUAGCAAAGCUGAUAAUGAUGUGUAACCUGUGCUGGGGGUGGUGGUGGUGCAAAUACUGGUGCCUGGGCUGAUGAAGCUGGAAAUUGGCCUUUACUCAGCUAUUUUUCUAAGAAAAAAAAAAAAGUGAAGGGUUCAGAAUUAAAUUAUCUGGAUUACUUGCUCUCUUCUUUUUUUCCUUUUCCAUUUUCCCCCCCUCCCCUACCUAACUGCUAAGUGAUUCCAACUUCAAGAACACUGUGGCAUACUACUUUAGUCUAUACUGUUUGUGAAGUCUGUUGAUUUCUUGGCAACAAUUCUGUGUAGUUUCAUCUGAUUUGUCUUGUUUCAGUGAUAGUUGUUUACUUACCUCUUUGAUAUUUUCCCCUGGGUUGUAGUUGCUGGGAGUAAGACCUGUUAAAGAGGAGACACAAUGAAAUGCUUUACCAUUUAGAAAUCAUGAAUUAGGCAAAUAAUUCUCAUGUGCCAUAAUGCUACAGCUGACAGAGGUCUUGGAAUGGAAUAUCCAAGGGUAACAACUAUUGCUUCCCAAACCAUGCACUGCCACUGAUUCUGCACUUUCUGCAAGUAUUGAUGUUUUGGAAGACUGCUAUUUUCUUUGCUUGCCAGCUCCUCUUAGGCCAAUCCUCUCCUUGCCCUGGUUUUGCUGUCUGGAAGUUUUGCAGCACUCAUUUGGAGACUUUGAGGUGGUGUUGAGCUGCAGGCAUGGCUACUCAGCAGGUUCCCCAAAGUCCCAGUUAACUCAAUGACAGCUGCUUGUUGCUUGCACGUGACACUGUCUUUUUGCACGUGACACUGUCUGUCUUUUUGCACGUGACACUGUCUGUCUUUUUGCACGUGACACUGUCUUUUUGCACAUGACACUGUCUUUUAGCAAACACCUGGGAGCUGGGGUGUGAUAUCUGUGGGAGCUGGAGGUGUGAACCAUGGGCACCUCCCAUUGCUGUGGUGAAUGCCCACCUGCUUUGCUGUCCUCAGUCAGUGUCCCCAGGAGCUCUGGCAGGAGCUGGAGCAGGGAGGAGCUUCCCAGGCUGCCCAACCUCUCCAGGUUUAACCUCGAAUCUUCAUCAGCUGCCAAGGCAAGAAGACAGAAACAGGCACAGGGUGACCCUUUGGAGUUUCAGUUGCUCUGACCUGCAGGGAUGGGUGUGACUGUGUAGCUCCUCACAUGGAUAUGUAAGAAAAUAAACUGAAAUAAUCUCCCAACAUUUCAAAACCUUGCACAAAGAUCAGGAAUUUGAAGACCUUGGAUGCUCCUGAUAUCGGCUUAUUCACUGCAUGAAAGGACAUCUGCAAAGGACAGUGGGGAUUUCAUUAUAAGUCUCAAAAUAAGAAUAUAAAAAACUCCCAGUGCUAUGUGGAGACAAUCUGCAUCCCUGGCCAUGGAUUGUUCUUUAAAUCAGAGCAGUGCUAGCAGAGCCUCUUUCCAUUAGCAAGGAAGAUCUAAUCACAGUGACUUGAAGCUAAUGCAAUCAUGGUUAGAGCCAGCUAUGAUGUGACAGAUAUUACUCAUAUUGAGUCAGGGGUACCUGUAAAUGCAAAUUACUUUGUGAAGGGCUUGAGGAGAUGCUGGCUCAGAGAGUCCAAGAUUUUCAAAGCAGACUGGCGUCUGCUGAUACCUAUAAACCAGCAGAACAGCUGUUGCAAAGCAGAAUUUCACAUCUAUUUAUUUGGGAAGAUCUCAUCCAAUGGUGCCCUAGAGAACUGUCUUGGCAGAGAAAGUGCAGCUUCCAUCUGGAGACUUCUUGGUACAUAUAAACUACUUUGGUUGAUGUUAAACACAGGUCCCUGUGUAGACUGGAAGACCAUUUUCCAUUUCACUUAUCUUCUCUUUCAGUUGGAACUAACUACUUAAUUCUGAGUAUGUUAGCAAGGUUUUUCCCCUGUUUGCCUAAUGCUGCCACAGGAGUUGCCUUAUGUCAUCUCAUCACUUUAGUCCUUGUUUCCCUCCAUCUAGCCUAUUUUGUCUCUACUUACAAUCUGAGUUAUCAUAUCACAGAGCAAGGACUGACUGGACUGGUCCCUCCCCUCCAUUCUCUAUGCAGUGUCAUAUCCAACUGUAUAGAGCCUUGAAAAUAACCAAAAAAGGGAAGUUUAUGGUAAUUUUCUUUCCUUUUAAUGGUGAGAAGAUAAUGCUUGUUUGUAACAAAUUGGGGUUUGUUACUUUUCUGCCUCUCUACUCAAAUGUUUUUGUCUUCAAAUGCUCUUCAAAAUACUAUGAAAUCCAACUGAUGUUGCUAAAGUUGUUUCCUUAUGCUGAAUUUUGUGAUAAGUUUAAGUUGCAAAAGGUGUGAACUUCCCUCCUUCUUAUUUUUUUAAUUAGGAUUUCCUGU